ensembl:lincRNA
AGGCGCCCUGCCUGGGCCACCGGCAGCCCCUCUUCACUUGGGUAAACAGGAAAGGAAAAACCCCUCGUGGAUUAAACAUUAAAAAAAAAAUAUCCCGGUGGGGGUGAAAGAGGGGGUGGGGCUUCCUGCGGGUGUUGGACACCGGAGAGCAACUCCAGAGCCCGCGCAGUGGUCGCCUCCUGGCCAGGAGAUGGACAAUCAGGAGGAGGGCGCAGGGCGCCUGGGCUGCUCCGGACCCUAGACGCCUUCGCUUCGCCAUCCAGCCAGGCUCCGGUCCUCCAGGGGUUUGGCGACGUCUGUUCUUACCUAGACGGUGUCAGGGAAGCUGAAAAUCUUCAUUCCGGGGCUCCAGGAUGUGCCCCAGUGAGAUGGGAAUGCUGUGGCACCUUUGGUCCCCCGUGCUCAUCAGCCUGACCGCCCUUUUCUCCAAAGUGACGGAAGGCCGAGGGAUCCUGGAGAGCACCCAGAGGUUCUCGCUGCUGCCCACCUAUCUGCCCGUGACCUACCACAUCCACCACGCGGACGUCUCCUUCUUCCUGAAGGAGGCCAACCAGGACAUCAUGCGCAACUCCAGCCUGCAGUCCCGGGUGGAGUCCUUCCUCGUCUACAAGUCCAAGGGGCUGCCGGUGCUCAACGCCAGCUACGGGCCCUUCUCCAUGGAGCAGGUGGUGCCCCAGGACCUGCUGCUGCCCUCCAACCCCUUCGGGUUCACCAGCAAGUUCUCCCUUAACUGGAAACUGAAGUCCUUCAUCCUGCGGGACAAGAUCUACCUGAGCCGGCCCAAGGUGCAAAUCCUCUUCUACAUCGUGGGCAGAGACUGGGACGACCACCGGGCGGCGGAGAGGCUGCCCUGCCUGCGGGUCUUCGCUUUCAGGGAGACCCGGGAGGUGAGGGGCAGCUGCCAGCUGGGCGGGGACCUGGGGCUGUGUGUGGCAGAGCUGGAGCUCCCGGCCAGCUGGUUCAGCCCCCCGACAGUGGUGGGGAGGCGGAAGCCCGCAGAGCAGCCCGAGGGGAGUCCUGUGGAGCUCUACUACACUGUGCAGCCUGGGGGCGAGCGAGGGGACUGCACCCGAGAGGAUUCCAGAAACAGCAAUGGCGCUCGGACUGGCCACAAUGACAUGGACGAGUCUGCGCCCCCCUUGCACAGGAUUGGGAGUGUCUUCCUCUACCAGACCCACAGCUCCCCGGCCCUGAGGGAGCUGCGUUUGGACAGCAAUGUGGCCGUUCACUAUGUCCCAACCACGGUUCGACAAGGAGCCGUACUGACUUUCCCCAUCUCCAUUUCCAGAAACUCCACCGAGGACCGCUUCACGCUGAGGGCAAAGGUGAAGAAGGGUGUGAACAUCGUGGGCGUGCGAGCCAGCAGCCCUUCCAUCUGGGAUGUCCAGGAGAGCGCGGAGUACACCGGGAGGUACGCGCCAGCUGUCAUCAUCUGUCAGAAGAAGUCUGGCGGCUCAGAAAACAGUGUGGACGGCACCUCCUACGAAGUCAUGCAGAUCGAUGUGGAAGUGGAGGAGCCCAGUGACCCGCCCACCACACAGCUGGUCACGUGGCAGGUGGAGUACCCAGGAGAGAUCACGUCGGACCUGGGAGUGUCCAAGAUCUACGUGAGCCAGAAGGACUUGAUUGGAGUUAUCCCGCUGGCCAUGGAGGCGGAGAUCCUCAACACAGCCAUCCUCACUGGGAAGACGGUGGCCGUCCCCGUGAAGGUGGUCUCCGUGGAGGAGGACGGCACCGUGACGGGGCUGCUGGAGUCGGUGGAGUGCAGGUCGUCCGAUGAAGACGUGCUCAAGCCCGUGGCUCAGCUCCCCACAGCCUGGACAGCAAGACCACGGCUCCUCCUUGCUUUGUGCUUCUUCCUAGAAUAGCCACAGAAACCUCAGGCCACUCUGGGCUGUGUGUGCUCAUUGUCUGCCAGGUGAGGAUGUCUGGUGUGUGACCCAUCCCCCCGGGCUGCUCCCCAGUGGCCUUUUGGAGGCAUUUCUUGGGAAAGUGUCCAGCCAAGA